AAAAAUGAUAACUUAUAUAAAAUGAGAGCCAGACCCCGUGUUUUCCAAGUGUAUGGCGGAGCGCCCCUUCCCCAGCAGCACCCAGGGCUAUCGGAGGGUAGCAUGAGACGGCAGCCCAGCAGGGAGGCUGGAGGCAGCACCUCCCCAGGAGAGCCUCCGCCUGUUUCUAGAGGACCGUUUUCUGCUCGACUUCUGCACAGGCUUUCACUCAGACAGAGAGGCCCAAGCCCCAAACCAGCUCGAGAACUGCCGUGGCGUGCGGUCCUGAAGGUGCUUGCCGGCACGAACAUUCCAGUGUGUCUUGGUUCUGACAGAGACUGGGACCUCAUGUCGCUAAGUUUAUGCUUCUCUUCUAGGCUGACUUAACUUUCCGCCUCUCCUCCCUCUCAGUCGCACCCUUUGUCUUUGGCUAAGAGCUGAAGUACAGAGAAAGAGUACCAGCAACUGCCGAGGGCUUGUAAGGACCCGGCACUGAGUUAGACUCUUCACAGGCGUCCCUGUGCACACGGCCAGCAGGGGGCGCAGCUGCAGCGCGCUGGGGAUCAAUGGCUUCUGGGCCCUGGGAGGGCCUCUGCCCAAAAGAGAUAAAUGUAAAAUAAACCAGCAAGAGCAACAUUGGAGGCAGAGGAAACUGAGGCCCAGAGCAGAUAAACCACGCGCCAAGGCUGGACAGGAAAUGGAGGGCCAGGAAUGCAGGCUGGCUGCGGCUCGUGCCCUGAACCCCAGGGCUGUGCUGCCUCGCCGCCUUCAAGCUCCAGGGCAGGCACCUUCCUGGGCUCCACGGAGGAUGUAAACACGGACGUGACAGGUUGUGGCCCCGGAGUUGCCUAUGAGCUUGGAGAAUAAAACAGGUCUGAAUUACGACAGCCAAGGAGACUCUCUGACCCCUUUUCCUCCAAACACAUUUAGAGUGAGAAGCUCGCAUCUAUCCCGACCUAUGGACAGACACUGGAGCUUAGCGAGACCUGCCUGGCUGUGUAGAAGGCCAGCCAGACUCAGACCACACAGCACAGGGCUCCAACGGCCGCACCAGAGGGUUCCAGCUCCCCUCGACCCCACUGAGCAGCGCUGCUACAAAGGACCCAGUGAACAGUCCCCGAAUUCCUAGAACAGAGGUCUCCAACCCUGGGCUUUAGACCUGUACUGGGCUGUGACCUGUUGGAAACUGGGCUGCAUAGCAGGAGGUGAGCAGGAGUGAG